AGUCGAGCGCGCAAAGUUCCCUUCGGGGAGCAAUUAGCGCGGCGAAAGGGUGAGUAAUGCAUGAGUAACGUACCCUGGGCACGAGGAUAGUCCACCGAAAGGUGGAGCAAUACUCGAUUAUAUCACAUGGAUUUCGAUUCGAGUGAUCAAAGGGUGGGGAUUCCUUCGGGGACCCGCCGGCCCGGGAUCGGCCCAUGUUCCAUCAGCUUGUUGGUAGGGUAAAGGCCUACCAAGGCGACGACGGAUAGCCGGACUGAGAGGUUGACCGGCCUCAUUGGGACUGAGACACUGCCCAGACUCCUACGGGAGGCUGCAGGGAUGAAUAUUCCGCAAUGGGCGAAAGCCUGACGGAGCGACGCCGCGUGUGGGAAGAAGCUCUUCGGGGUGUAAACCACCGUCAGGGGCUACCAAGCAAAUCCCUUUAAUAGAGGGAGGGCGUUGAGGGAGCCCCAGAGGGAAGCCACGGCUAACUUCGUGCCAGCAGCCGCGGUAAGACGAAGGUGGCAAGCCGUUGUUCGGAAUUACCGGGCUUAAAGAGCACGUAGGCGGCCCGUUAAGCGUUUUGUGAAAUCCCUCGGCUCAACCGAGGAAUUGCUUGGCGAACUGGCGGGCUUGAGGCAG
rnacentral:rRNA from 1 species